rnacentral:rRNA from 1 species
UACGUAGGGGGCAAGCGUUGUCCGGAUUUAUUGGGCGUAAAGCGCACGUAGGCGGCUUUGUAAGUUAGAGGUGAAAGCCCGGGGCUCAACUCCGGAAUUGCCUUUAAGACUGCAUCGCUAGAAUUGUGGAGAGGUAAGUGGAAUUCCGAGUGUAGAGGUGAAAUUCGUAGAUAUUCGGAAGAACACCAGUGGCGAAGGCGACUUACUGGACACAUAUUGACGCUGAGGUGCGAAAGCGUGGGGAGCAAACAGG